AGGGACUUAGGCUAAUAAUAAACCAGCAGCCUUCAAAGUUGCAAACAAGAGUUAAAAUCUCUUAGUCCCUG
rnacentral:tRNA from 1 species